UAAUUUUAAACUUAAUUAGAAAAUGAUUUCAAAUUGGAAAAUAUAGUAUAGAUUACUCCCAUUUAGUUAAUUUUAAAUAUAAAAGCAUACGAUUAAGUAUUAACUGAUUUCCCCACCCCCCAACAAAGGGCGUAAGGGCGCCACCAUGCUCCGCCGUUAAACUGAAGGCCUAUGGAUUUUGCUCGGAGCCGACUUGGAUUGCUUUAAUUUCCACAAGGUGAAUAUAGCUAAGCAAUUAACAUCUGGUUGAUGAUAAUGAUGAAAAAAGAAUGUUUUCGUUGGCACAAAAAUGCUGGAUUCUUCCUUACCAAAGAGUGAAUUCAUGAUGUUCGACAAAAUGCUUAGCCGAAAUGUAUUUCAGUAUACAUCACACUACGAAUAGUACCUUGUAAAGAGAGAGCGCUUUAAAAUAGCUUACUUGGAUCUCAUUGGGAAAAUCGAAAGUCUGAUUUUCUGC